rnacentral:rRNA from 1 species
UCGACGAUGAAGCCUGGUGCUUGCACCGGGUGGAUUAGUGGCGAACGGCUGAGUAUCACGUGAGUAACCUGCCCUUGACUCUGGGAUAAGCCCGGGAAACUGGGUCUAAUACCGGAUAUGACCAGUCACCGCAUGGUGUGCUGGUGGAAAGCUUUAGCGGUUUUGGAUGGACUCGCGGCCUAUCAGCUAGACGGUGAGGUAAUGGCUCACCGUGGCGAUGACGGGUAGCCGGCCUGAGAGGGUGACCGGCCACACUGGGACUGAGACACGGCCCAGACUCCUACGGGAGGCAGCAGUGGGGAAUAUUGCACAAUGGGCGCAAGCCUGAUGCAGCGACGCCGCGUGUGGGAUGACGGCCUUCGGGUUGUAAACCACUUUCAGCAGGGAAGAAGCUUUUUGUGACGGUACCUGCAGAAGAAGCGCCGGCUAACUACGUGCCAGCAGCCGCGGUAAUACGUAGGGCGCGAGCGUUAUCCGGAAUUAUUGGGCGUAAAGAGCUCGUAGGCGGUUUGUCACGUCUGCUGUGAAAGCCCGGGGCUUAACCCCGGGUGUGCAGUGGGUACGGGCAGACUGGAGUGCAGUAGGGGAGACUGGAAUUCCUGGUGUAGCGGUGAAAUGCGCAGAUAUCGA